rnacentral:tRNA from 1 species
GAAAGAGGCCAGAAGCAAUAAGAACUGCUAAUUCUUACCCCCCAUGGUUAAAUUCCAUGGCUCUCUCG